GAAAAUGCUGAGACAGGGAGGAGUACAUUUCUUUAAGCUAGAAGAGACGAGCAAGUCUCUGUAAGAGAGAGAAGCCGAUGCGCUGAGAGACUUCUUUAGCCUGCGGAAAUGGAAGUAGCCCUUGAGCAGUCUUUCUGAACGGUCGAACCGACUUAUUAGGAAAGUUCCGGGAGUCCGUUAUCGAAUGAAUGAGGCGCGUUUUUUGCGCGUAAAUAAAGGUGGUACCGCGGAGCUUUCUUCGUCCUUGUG
rnacentral:ncRNA from 1 species